CCAGUUUGUGCCCACUGCCUCUGGUCCUGGCACUGGGCACCACUGACAGCAGCCUGGCUCUGUCCUCUCUGCACUCAGGAAGCAAACACUGAGAGCUACACCUCUGUCGUAUCAUUUGCUACCCAGGGACUGAACAGUGCUCAGACUCAGGCUGCUGCCCCGGAGCUCAUGCUCAGACAAUUACAACACACUUCUAAAGAGAACUGAGAAGAUUAUCCCAGCUGGAUAAGAGAUCAGAUAAAGUAAGCACAAAAAACCUUCAGCGGGAUAAUACAUCAUGGAAGAUUUACACUGUGCUGACCUAAGACUGCAGUGAUGAGAACCCAAAGUCCUGACAGCCCGAUGCAAAUUGCAUGGCAGUGACCUGGGUAAGCCUGAACUACUGAAGCCAGAUGAUUAAUCA